CCUACACGCCUUGUUACGGGUGCCCUUCACAGGGUGAAACGGGAAACCGGUGCGCGCAGACCUUCGGGUGCGCAAGUCCGGUGCUGCCCCCGCAACGGUAAGCGAGCGAAGCGUCAAAUCCACUGUGUCGGUGACGACAUGGGAAGGUGGCGCUUGCAGGCACUGACGCAGUGAAGGUUGCUGCGUGCGCCCCUCGCGAGCCCGGAGACCGGCCCGACAACGACACAUAAC
rnacentral:ncRNA from 1 species